UAACAGUGAAAUGACGGUUUUGGCAUUAAUUGUUCUUUACAUCUACCACCCCGCCAGGUGCUGAAUCGGCGUGUUUGCUCUUGCUACUUUGCUGAAUUACAGUUUGAAUUACAGUUUGUCGUCCUCUCCUAUUUUUCUUGACAAAGACUGAGGGGACUGCUGGUUUUUAUCGAUUUGAUCUUCGCUAUCAGUCAGAAGAGAGAAAACAGAGAGAGGGAGAGAGUUCGGUUCAAUUGAUAAAAGAUGUCUUCCAUUUCCUUCUAUCUUUUUUGGCAGCCUGACUCUGGCUCAGGUUUUUGACUAUGUGUAUGUGGCACGUGUAUGUCUUGGAAACCAUCCAGCCACAAACGUGAGCCUAUCCCAAAUCGAGAUAGAAGCCUAUUAGUAAUUGGUCGUUGAUGUAUCAUAAGUGAAUAGGAAACAGAGAGAAGUAAGACAUUAAUUUGAGGUGGAGUCUUUUCCCUGCAAAAUGGCUGUGGAUUCGUGGAGUUGGUGGUGGUGCAGGUCCCAAGCCAAGGUGGCUGUGGGUUGGUGCAGUGGUGGCGUUGCAAAUUUGCAUGUAGCUAAAAUGGGCCGUCAUUUUAUGCUUUGUUGAAGUUGGAUCUGCAUUUUGUGUGUCACAAUUUCUGGGUUCGAUUAGUUGAGAAAAUUAGGGGUUUUGGGAAUUUUGUGUUUCGUUGGGUUUAUACAUAUAGUGGUUAAAAGAAGCAUGCUUUGAUUCUUGCUCUUAUACGGGAAUUGACUACAGGAAACAUGGCCUGUUCUGGGCAAAGUAGAGCUUUAUUCAUUCUCCUUUCUUUGGAUAAUAAUAUUCAUUCUCCUUUUGAUACAUUGCGAUUUGCAACUUCACUUUUCCUUCUUUUUAGUUUUUUAAUGGGAUUUAGAUUUGUCUCCCAAAUGCAUUAGUUUGCUAUUGUGGAAGAGUUUUCAUUAAGUAAGGAAAUGUCGGUGCUUAGAUAGAUAUAUUUCAAUGCCUGCAUCCAAGUAUUAAAGUAGUCCUAGCAACCAUGUGGCAGUUGGACAAUUCAUAAACAAAAAGCACAACCAAAAGGCUUCAGGAAAUGGAGUGCUUCCAGGAGUCUUUUUCUUCCAGCAAUGUAGAUAGUUCUUAUGCUUUGCAGACAUUUGUAUGACAUGAACAAAAAGAAAACCAAGAUCAUUCAUGUAGUUACGGAAAUGAAUCAUAAAAUAAAUAAAGCAUGGUGAAGAUUAAAAAUCAAAUACUUCGAGGAAUUCACAGAGUCCAAACGGAAGUCACAAGUUCGAUAUAAUCAGUGAGAUAAUAUCCAGCUUUUGGUGAAAGAAGUUAAAUGGGAUAUUGAGAAUCUGCAGAUGAGAUAGUAUCCAGCUUUUGGUGGUGCAGUAGUUGGUUGUCAUAGUGAUCAUUGUAGGAAGGGAAAGGUGGAGAGUUGUUGCAUCACUCUACUUCGAUGAUUAGCUCUAGCUAGCUAAAAAGAAAUAUAGAGGUUCAACUUCUCUCAAAAACAUACAUUAUCUGUGUUUAUGCUAGGCUGGUUUAAAUAUGGUUGUCCUUCUGUCCGUCUUUCAUAAGCUUUCACCGCAUUCAUUCUUGCAUAUCAAUAUGAGAUUUCAAAUCAGCAAUUUGCAUAUGCAUUGAAUCUUCCACUCUACUUUCAUCUUAAUAUGAUUAUUUCUGAGUUCCAAAUGAGAGAGAUGCAGCAGACAUGACAGAAUCAAUUGAAGACACGUUAGAGGAGUUAAUGUAAAAUAGUUGGUUCUAACUACAAACAUAGAACAUUAUACAUACAUCUAAAGCUGGAUCCACUGUUAUACUGUUCAUUUAACAGUAAAAUUCCGGUUCUGCCCUUGGCUUUUUCUCACAAUUUCAGGUUAAUUGUAUCCUGACGAUUUUGCCCAUGCAGUCACCCGUUUGAAUAACGCCACGUAGUAAAUUCUAGAAACCCGUCAAUAACCCACCCGUGUACUUGCUCCUUUUUUAGGCCUCCACUGACCCUUCCAGAAGUUCCAUGACUUCCAGACGUCUACUGACCCAAAUCUACAGAUAGAGAAGAACGAUCCGGAGGGAGAUAGAGAGAUCGAGUGUGAUAGAGAGCAAUCCAGAGAGAUAUCAAGAACGAUCCAUAGAGAGAUAGAAAGAUCGAAUGUGUGUUUUUCUCAAGUAUUAAUUGUGUAAUGAAAGUUUAGCGAUUGCACACUACUUUCAUUCACACUUGCUUGUUUAUUGUCUUUAGCUUCUUUUACUUUGCAUCUUUAACUUUAAUUAUACAAUUAUUUUUCAUCUAAUUAAUCAGACGAUCAUUUUGAGAUAAAAAAAACCCUAGCCUCCCUACGCGCCGCACGUGUGUUUCAACCUUCAAAGCUUCCUAGCUCGUCUAGCAGCUCGUCCUUAGAAUGUCGUCAUCGGACGGGCAUCUAGGCAGCGCUCCUUAAAUAACUUUUCUUAGGCAGGGUAACUCGACGAGAUUUUGAGGCUUGGGUGGGAUAAGUCUCCAUGGACGCGGUCUGAUUUGUUUUGGUUCGUUGGGUUGAGGAGGACGACUGUGCUUGCGGGGUAGUAGAAGGCGAAGCGGGCGGCGGAAUCCGUUGUUGGUGGCGGGAGUACGGGCGCGGUUGGAUUGCAUGUUUGGGUGGCCGAUUGCUCCUGAAUCUCAGUUUGAUGAUGGAUAGCUAGUGUUGCUUGCUUGGAUAGAUCGACGACGGUGGACACUGAUGGUGUGGCUACUAGGCGGGAUUGUCGGCGUCGACAGCUUUGAUGUUGCCAAUGGUGGCGGGGAAGUUGCUUGGUGGUGCCGCUUUGGAGCUACUCGUCACUCUGAUUCUGUUCAGGCCUGAGCAGUUGGACCUAGUUUAUGCCUUGGGUCAAGUCUUUGAUCUUUUUGGGUUAGCCCUAAUUCUAAGGGAAAAGAAAGUUUUUUUAUUCAUGAUUUUUUAUCUAGUUUUGCCUUUCAAAUGAACUUUGGUUUUUGUUUGCUUAA